rnacentral:lncRNA from 1 species
UUUGACUUUGUUUACGUAAAUUUAUAAAUAUAAAAGUUACAUAAAGAUUACAUAUUUUGGGAGGUGUAUAUGUACGUAAAUUUGUUAUGGUUAUGAACAUGUAUAUCAUAGUUCAACGUAAGUUUAAUAUUUAUAUAUUUAUUGACUAAUAUAUAUAACAUACAAUUACUGAUUGUUCUAAUAUAAUAUGUUUUGUUUUGUUUAUGCUUUAUUGACUAGAGAUGAAGAAUUCAAAAACCGAUUGAGUACGUGAUGGAAAUAGUAAAGCUUAUCGAAGGAAACAAAAAUCAUGACUCGAUGAAAACAAAGAUGGUCUCAUGUAUCAAAGUAUUGAAGAAAGAAUACUUUGAUUCAUGUAUCAUAAAACCUAGUUAUGAUAUAUGAGAUAUGCAUGAUAUGUUCAAUAUAUUUGAAAAUAAUUCCCAAAGCUUUUCAAAAGCAAACAAGGUAAAACUAUAUAUGUUUGUUAUAAACUUUUAAUUUUAUGAAUA